rnacentral:lncRNA from 1 species
GAGGAUUUGCGAUUCCAAGUUGGUUGGAAAAGAGCCAGAGCUGGAGCUCUUGUGGGGGGAAGGGGGUGGCAUCCUGUCCCGUGCCUGGGUCAGUCAGGGCUCCUGAGCCCAAUUUAUAGGAGGAGUGGGUGGCAGGGAUUCCUGUGACCCUCAAUACCUGCCUCCCAGCUUUUGGUCCUCCCCCUGCCUGGGGAACUGUGGUUGGAGAGAAGGGGUGGGGGUGGGGGGGGCUGCGGAUUAGGCAGCACUGACACUCCCCAGCAUUGCUUGCCUGCUGCAGCCCCAGCCGCCAGCCUGGAAGCCUGGAGCUGCCUUGUCCUUGUGCCCCAUGUCAUGCCUCCUCGGCCCAGAUGACUAGGCCCCCCUUCCAUGGGAUGGGGGAAAGGGUGUGCAUUGGAGAGUCCUGGAGUAGGGGAGCACGUUUGCUUGGGCUCCAAGAGUCCCUGAGAGCACCUCCCUAGGGACGUGUGCCUACGGUGGGGAGAAGUGAUGGCCCAGCUGGCAGGCUAGAUGUGGUGGACCCACCUGCCAUGGGUUGGAGGGGGACAGACAGAAGGACACACAUACCCCCUCCGCCCUUAACCCUGGCUGCUGCUCACAUCCCCUUUUUCUCGCGCUUCCCCUUUUCUUUCUUGCCCUCUCCCCAUGGCUGUGUUUGGAGACUCACGCGGAGUCUGUUAGAUUCUCAACAGCCACAGAAUCUGUCCUCCUUUUACAAAUGGAGAAACUGAGGCAAGGCCAAGCCUUCGCCAGCCAGGGCGCUCUGCCCAGCGAGGGUCAGAUCUGAGCAUCCAGCUUCUUGGGCUGCCAGACCCAGGGCCCCUCGCCUUGUGGUUUCAUGGUGGAUUUUUCUGAGAAGCGAGACUAGCUGGGCAGGGGUCCAGGGGUUGCUGACUUGAGGUCCUUGGCUUCUUGAUUCUGUAAGAGUCCAGCUUGCCCUCUGUCCACUUCUCUUUUUUCUUCAUUUUUUUCCCGAGUCCCCUGCCUCCCCCAUUUCUGUAGGAAUUAGCUGGUCUUGGUUAAAGAGGGAUGGGGAGCAGGGAGGUGACACAGGGGAAGGGGUGGUGGUAGUGGUUUGAGUAAGGAGCUGUACAGCUCUAUGGGCCUGUAGGAUGACACUUAGGGUGGAACUUAAGGCAGAGGAGGAGGCUUUCCGGGGGGUGUGGUGAGGGACAGAGGGCUCCUGGAGGAGCCCUGCCUGGUCCUGGCCUCUCAGGGAAGCCUUGUGGGCAGUUGAGGG